GGGACUUAAAAUCCCUCACUCGCAAGAGUAUCCGGGUUCGAUUCCCGGCUCCGGCACCA
rnacentral:tRNA from 1 species